AGGAAAUGAGGGAAAUUGCUUCCUUGAGUCGUUACGAAGGCUUCGCUCCGUAGACAGACCGUGUAGUCCAAUGCUGCUGACCCUCCUCCACGAAGGUCCCUCGGAUUGGAAUGUUCCUCGCCGUCCGAUCGCCUUGAAUCUGGUCAAUCGAGCAGCUAGUUGAUGGCGGCUCGAUCCACUCCUGGAUCCUUCUUCCAUUUACCCACUGCCUACCACCAAGCACGGGUCAGGGAGCAUGGGAUCGACGACGGCACCCGAAAGCCAGGAUGGUUGGUUGAGGAAGAGGGUGAGGACAUGAGGAUUGAAGAGGGUUCCUAUGCAGACUGUUCUUUGCAAGGGCAAAGCAUCGUCAGGGCUGGUGGUGGUUGGAUCAUUAGAUGAUUCCCAGUAACUAGCUCUUUGUGCUUCUCAGGGUCGAAGUGUUAGUGGAGAUCGAAGUUCCAAGGAGGCCGCUCGCGAGAUGGCUGGGCUUCCUUCAAUACCGGUGCUAACCAGGAGCUGACAUGCGGUACAAAUUUUCUCUGGGUUGCAGGAUAGGCGAGGCGAUGAUCCAAAAAAUUGGUAAGAAUGGGGCUCCCACGUUCUCUCUUAUCCAAGAAAAUCAAUACAGCAAAAUGUGUGUUUAGUAAACCUUGCAUUGCUGCAAAAAUUAAUAUUAUGUUUGUGAAUCUAAUGCCAUGGUGGAUAUCAUGAAGAAGAGGGACAUGUUUGUUGCGUUUGAAGGUGUACUUAUGAGUGCAAGGGAGCCUCGAGUAUUUGGGUUUGUCCAGUACUUCAAUCCUGGUGAUGCUGCAGAUGAAAAAUACUACAUGGACGGACAGGUUAUUCGUGGCAAACAAGUAGCAGUCUUAUUUGCAUAACAGAACAAAAAGAAGCCUGCUAAGGGGUGUCCCGCGGCAGAUGCGCGCCCAAUGACGUUGUGGAGCUAUCAACUCCCACCCAGAUCGCCACAGGGAACAGCGAAGCAUCCUCCCUUCUCCCUUCCCGUUGCAUCUCCGCCUGGUGAGGUCCUCCUUUUGUUCAGUUAAUCCUCUACACAAACCCUUUUUGGAUACAUCAUUAGAGCUUUUUAUGCAGUUCUCUAUUUCUAGAAAUUUCAAUGCUAAUAAACUAGACACUAACCUCGAACAGUAACUUCUUGCAGGCUUGUCUUAGUGAGACAAACAUGCUGAAGCAAAGAUCCUUUUCCUUCUUUGUAUCCCUCAUUCUCUGUUUUUUCUCACAAUGUAGCACCUUGCUUCUCCACGGCAUUGAACCCGUGAUGGUGUGACUACAGGUGGAUUACAACAUCUUUACCUGAUAAACAUGGAAUAUACAAGAGGAAGGAGCAACUGCAGCAAGCAGUGAUGCUUCAGGCGCUGAUGUGAGGAUUACUGAAUUUGAGAGCAGAGGAAGAGAAGCGUGAAACUGUCAUGUUCGCUUCCGCCACUCAUGCCGAGCGGGAUGCAUGGUAGAGAGGAUUUCUUUUCCGCGAAAAUCGGAAGAGAGGAUUCAUGCAAAGGAAGAGAGGAUUUCUUUGCCAACAUAGAUGAAGAUGAGAGGAUUGGCCAACUUUGGACUCCAACGGCAGCGAUGAUGAUGAAGACUUGAACUAUGACUAUGAGUCCGAGUAGUAGAAGAAUCAUUUAUGUUUUUGUGCAUUUUCGACAAGGAUUAGAUUUGUUACAUAGAUUUGUUUCAAAUAGAACUCUAUGCUACCAAAUUUUAAUGUGUAUAUACAUUUCAUUGUAGACAGCAAGCCCCUGUUUUUCCAGGAGAUUAAAUUUAUUGUCAUAUGUGCUUGCCUAUAACUAAGCAACUAAACCA